GCAAACUUGGUCAUUUAGAGGAAGUAAAAGUCGUAACAAGGUUUCCGUAGGUGAACCUGCGGAAGGAUCAUUAAAAAUUUGCCUAAAGACAUUCGUGUCCAGGGCCCACACCGUGUGCACCGUUAAUUAUUUUUGGCAGGGUCUUUGGGUUUUUCUCUUUGAGUUUGACCCAACUUCUCUUAGGCUCUAUCCCUCUUCCGGAGGGACAGUCGAACAUGGGAAGCAGUUACCCUGCCAAGUGACUCUAAAACACGCAUCUUCUGUCUGAAAUAUCGUUUUUUGCGAUUGAUAACGCAUAAUAAAAUCAUAACUUUCAACAACGGAUCUCUUGGCUCUCGCAUCGAUGAAGAACGCAGC
rnacentral:misc_RNA from 1 species